AUUGAACGCUGGCGGGAUGCUUUACACAUGCAAGUCGAACGGUAGAGGGGGCAACCCCUCGAGAGUGGCGAACGGGUGAGUAAUAUAUCGGAACGUGCCCAGUCGUGGGGGAUAACGUAGCGAAAGUUACGCUAAUACCGCAUACGAUCUAAGGAUGAAAGCGGGGGAUCGCAAGACCUCGCGCGAUUGGAGCGGCCGAUAUCAGAUUAGGUAGUUGGUGGGGUAAAGGCUCACCAAGCCAACGAUCUGUAGCUGGUCUGAGAGGACGACCAGCCACACUGGAACUGAGACCCGGUCCAGACUCCUACGCGAGGCAGCAGUGGGGAAUUUUGGACAAGGGACGCAAGUCUGAUCCAGCCAUUCCGCGUGCAGGAUAAAGGCCCUCGGGUUGUAAACUGAUUUUGUGCGGAACGAAAAGGUCUCUCUUAAUACGGGGGACUCAUGACGGUACCGUAAGAAUAAGCACCGGCUAACUACGUGCCAGCCGCCGCCGUAAGAC
rnacentral:rRNA from 1 species